GCAGGGUGCCAGCUUGUCGAAGUACUCGGGAGCAACCAGGCUCAGCAGCGCCUGGAACAGCCGGACGAAGGGCAGGCGGGACACCAGCACCAGAGACUGCAGGGCCCAGGGCUGGCUGCUGCGUGCUCUCCCCAGACCGGGAUCUGCCUGGGAGUCACGGCCCCGGAAGGCAGGCAACUGCCCUCCAGGGACAUCUCUGCAGACACAGUGGUGAGCGGUUCAGGGGCCCAAGAGCACCGGCCUCUGCACACCGAGCCACGCCCUGGUGCACACGUGGAGCACAGGAAAAGCCCCAAGGACCCUGGCAAGUCCUCAGAAGCGCUGGCCCACCCCCAGUCGAGGCUGGGGUGCCGGGCCUGGCCUGCAGCAGUUGGAGACCCUGCUGGCUGGGGCUGGCCAGGCGCCUUGAAGGGCCGCUCACACCCGCCUGACCCUGGCCUGCAGGGGCAGGGGAGGAGCGCUGGAGAGGCAGCCCGGCUCACCUGCAGAGACACGGGGGCCCCACUGUCACAGUGCCUGUCAUCCGUGUGCCAGGGGCGCCUCUGCCCUCCACACUGACGAAUGCGGAAGCAGAACUGAGUAUCCCCGAGGCAGCCUGGGGAAGAGGUGGUCCCCUCACGCUGUGUCCGGGUUGGGCUGGAGCCUCUCCUGCCAGCAUGUGGGGCGGGGGGCCAGGGAGGGGGCGAAGCCCCUGCCGGGCUGCAAAUGCCUCAGAAAAGCCCAGCCCUCCAGUUCUGUGUCUCCCGACAGAGGUCCCCGUGUCUAGAUUCCUGCACCUAAGGGUUUAAACUCAGCACACAGAGAAGCACAGCCACAGCCCCGCAGCGCGUGCACUGUGGGCAAGCACAGGCCGGGGCUUGUGUGGCCCGGCGUAGCCUGCCCGGGGAGGAAAACCAGGCCGACCCGGACACCUGAGCCCUGGAGAAGCCGAGGCCAGGACCCAGCUCCUGGUGACCCCUCUGCUGGGGUGAAGGAGACCAGACCCCACUGCCCAGAGACACCUCUUUCCGCGGGAACCGGGGAAACCGGCUGCCGCGGCGUGGGGCUCUGGCUGUCUCCCUGGAGCGGGAAGGGGGACCGGUGCUUACAGGCUGUGCAGGCCUGGCCGCAGGGGCUCUUGGGCAGCCUCAUCUCCCUCCUUCUUCUUCUCCCCACAGCCCCAGAGAGACACCCAGACCGGGGCGGGGCGGGGUGGCCUACCUGAGUGGGAGUCGGGAAAGGACAGGUAGCAGAUGCUGCUUUUCUGAAACACAGGAAAGCCAGUGAGGGCCUGCUCCCUGGGUGAGGUCUGCUCCGGAGAGGGCUGGGACCCACCUCCUUGUCCGUGAGCUGGAAGUCGCUGGGGUACACCAGCUGCGGGGGACACAGAGUACUCAGUGACAUGGGCUUGGCAGGCUUGGUGCUGGGCUGCAGGUGUGUCCCCCCCACCCCAGCACUGUCAGACCCUCUGGCUCUCCCCCACCUCUGGCUCCCUGCUGACCCCUCCUCCUCUCUUCAGGGCUCCAGCGCCCUGCCCUGCCUCCCCAGGCCCCUCUCGGCCCGAGGCCACUCCUGGCCCCCAUCCUUCCCUUUUCUCGGCCAGCGCACAACUGGGUGAGCUCCUGGACUCCCUUCUCACACCCCUCGCCCUCAAGGCCACUCGCCCAGACUGGGCCUCCCUGCCCCACGUCCCGACAGUCUGUCCCCAAAGCCUCCUCUCUCGCCUAGAGCGGAUGCAGGGCCCUGCCUCCUGGCCCCCACCUCCUGUACCCUCUCAGCGCUCCGAACCCAACCCCACCCAGCCAGAGGGUCUUAGGCUCUGCGGCUCCUCUGGGCCUGCUCUCCCAGACGGCCUGGCUAGCCUCCCCAUCCCGUCUUAACGCAGAUGUUGCCUGACACUGGCACCCCUGCCUCUGAGCAUCUUCACUCCAACCCCUGCUAGUCAGGGGUCCGGGAGCUUCUGGCCUGCUCCCCGCUUGGAAUGUGACCCCUGGAGCACCCAGGCCCCUGGAGUGUAUGGUGAGCGUGACCAGCUGGACAGGCUCUACCUGGGAGACAGGCCACACUCUAGGGGAGCCAGUAGCCCUGUACGCAGGCAAAUGGCCAGAAUGGAUUUCUUUGCAGGAAAGGAAAAAGGCAGGGAACCUCCAGAGUCCUCACUCCCUGCAGGCCCCCAAGUGUCUCCUGGGGACCUGGUGCGCCUUGGGCAUCACUGCUGCCCUGGCCCGUGCUCAGCUGCAGCAGGACGGCUCUCCCAGGAAGCGGCUAUGCCGGGAGCCAGGAGCUGAGGGCCUGCAUGCGUGGCCCCCUCCUUACUCUGUCGGCCAAACUCCCACGCGGAGGAGGACUUGGGUUCUGGCUGACAUGAGGCUUCCUCUGCGGUGUGCCCUGAGCCCCCAGGUGGUAAGUGCUCUGGAACCGAACCUGCAACAUCUCCAAGGUGUGCCUGUAUUUGUGGAGUGCGUGAAAACAUGUCUCCAAAGAAUAAUGGAACAGGUGGGGCAUGUGGAAAUCUCAAGACGUCAGCUAAGGAGGCACCAAGAAGGAAGGGCCAAGAGGACGGAGGGGAGCCAGCCAAACAGUAUUUGUCUGUGGGGUGGACCCACAGGGGUACCUCGAGAUGGCUCCAAGAGAGGAGGGGCCGCAGGACCACUCGGGCCCCUGCGCGUCCUUGCUGGGAAGGGCAGAGGAAAGGCGGGUGCCUGGCAGCUGGCAGGGCCACGAUGGGCCCUCGGAGCUGAGGUCAGGGGUCUGAAUCUGGUCUGGAGCUGAGGUCAGGGGUCUGAAUCUGGUCUGCAGUCACAGGAGUUUUGUAGCAUCUGAGCAGGCUCCACAGCCAUGCCCAGGGCUCCAAGUUCACUGUUCACAAGCUGGGAGCAGAGAUGGAGGGACGGCCCUGCCUGACUGAGGAGAGGAAUGGAGCGGACCCUCAGAGAGGGGCAGAGGGCGAGGGUCUGCCGCACGAUGAACCCUGUCCCCUGGAACCGCAGGGGUCUUGUCCUUUCCACGGGAGCCAGUCUGCAGGGGCUGCAGCUCCUGUAACCAAGUCGCCCCUGAGGAAGACAGAUGCAGCGAGCCUCGCCUUGCUGGAGAAGUGUGGCUUCCAGAGGCUGUGACACAGGCCGUCAAGGGGAACUGACUGAAGCUGACGUGAAGAUACAGCGGCCUUCUAUUUGGCCUUUAAAAAGGGACGUAAAAGUGUCAAAUAAUGCCAUUCUCCUCACUGAAUUUGUUUCUGAAAAUGGUUGUUUUUGUGGAAAUAUAUAUAUUUUUAAAGUAAGUAAAUAAAUAUUUAUUUAUUUUCGGC